GGUAGAGUGGGAGAGUGGUUAAUCCGCCUGUUUGCUACACAGGUCUCUUUAUGAGUCGUGGGUUCGAAUCCCACCUCUAUCA
rnacentral:tRNA from 1 species